AGGAAUGGCUACACAUCUCUUAAUCAUGCUCCAGAUGUGGAAAAUCUUAAUUAGUAGAGUGAGAAAGGUAGCUAAGAACAGGAGAGAGUGACAGUUUCUAUAAUGGGAAUCAGCAUUUUUAGUUGUAGUACUCCAGUGUUAAAUAACUAAUGAUAAAACGUUAGAAGAAAAGACAGUAGAUGACACAGACAGGCUGUCUCUGACAGAAGAAUACAGUUCAUCAAAAGUGUCUGCAGGUUGUCAAACUCAGGGAGGUUUGGGGACCCUCUGCGGCUGUCAUGGUCAACAAGAAGAUUUUCUGUCGGGCUCCUCCAUCACUCACCCUGAGGAAAUAAUCACUCACUACAUUCUGCAUGUUCUCAUGAUGGAGCUCUCCAUUUGAGAGAAAAGAGCCAUUUUAUCAAAGGACAAUAUAGCCCUUCUCUGGGUCCACGUAGCUUCCAUUAUCAGACCAUAAUAAAUCAUAUUUAUGUUCUCAGUUAAUAAGACUGAUUACAACGCAGGUUCCAGACGUGGGAAAAGCAAAGCAGAGACAAAGAGAUACAUGUUUCUCACUCCCUGUCUGUGCACAACUGCCACUAGUGCUGAGAGGAGUUAAGUGUCUGCUUCGGAAGACAACAGACCCCAAAGUUGAGUAUUGAAAGCCACCUUAUUAAAAAGGUCUGGACGUUUUUAGCUUCACUGAGUUCAAUUACAUUAAAGUACCAACUUUCUAAAUUAGUACACAAAAGAAAAAAAAAUCAGAUAAAAUAUUGAAAGUGCUUCAGCCAUUAACUGUGUAAUACAGAGGAGCAUGUGAAGGCUGAGGGCUCGGGAUGUGCAGUACGGAUUGUUCGUUCAUAUUAAUUUACCAGUUUGAUGGUGUAACAAAUAACAAUUCCAGGUUAGCAUGCAACACUUAGAGUACUUCUUUGCACUGUCCGUUUAUGGCCUGCUGAGAAUUUUGUUACGCUUGGCUUUUGUUUUCUAAAAGGCUAAAAAGCUUGUGCACUCUGUAUUCUGAUAGUGGUAUUCCGAAAUUUGAAUUUACACACUUCAGAUUCAGCAAGUGAUUGGGGUAUUUUAGUUAUUUGGGGUGGGGUUGGGGGAGGCAGUUGACUUCUUUCUCACGUAUAUGCUUAGGUCUCACAGCAUGCACGUAUGAAGGGUUCUGCUGGUGGAAUAGCCAUUGUUAUAAACUGAAAAAAGAGAACAUUCUCCAUAGUGAAUUUUCAUGGCUAGACUGCUGGAAAGGCACACUAUUGACAGAAUUGCAGACUUCUCUUACUGAAAGAAAACAGUGUUCAGUGUUUCCAAGAAGGAACUUUAGUUCAGACAUGCAUGGAUUCUACUUUUUCUAAGGUAGUUUUUGCUAAUGUUAGAAGUUGGGAGAGUUGAUAAAGUCAGCAAGGUCUAAGAGAUUAACCUCACCAAAUUGAUCAAAACACCCAUGAGGAAAAUUUAUGAACUUAAUUGAUAAGGGUGGGCAUGUACAUAUGGGUGUAUGUGGGCGCCUGUGUGGGGUCCGUGUUUUUUAGGCUACCUCUCUGUUUCCUGAAAUUCAAAGCCGAUUGAGAUGGAGUUCCCUCCUCCUAGAUCACGGCUUUCUCUGUUGCCAAUUUCUUUGUUCUAUUUUAACAUAAAUGGAGGAGGGAAAGAGCAAUUGGUCCCUUGUCAUUCACAUUGUCUGACUUCCACAAAAAUAACUGCCAAGACUUCUGCUGCGUCUUUUCUCCGAUUUUAGCCCUCACUCCAUUUUUCUUUUCCUAGGCUGACCAAAAAAUAUUGCCUGCAAGAGGAUUCCAGAAUGCCACCAUGUAUCUAAUAUCUAUGAGGAGUUCUGUUUUAGCGUCACUAGACUUACCCACAGAAGACUUUGACAUUGAUAAAGAAUCUGUCAAGUCUAGCCUGAUCAGUGCGCUGAAAUCACUCAUGACAGGGAAGAUACCAACUACCCUCCGUCCCCAAAGCAGUGGUAGAUUAGGGGAAAAAUGAUUAGCGGCUUCCUGGUUGUGAAGCCGUUUCAUGUUAGACCAUAUACUGAGCCAAAUGUGUUUUACUUGUCACACUCCAUUAGCAUGUGUGAAACAGUUGGGGAAAUGGCCAUAUGAUUAGACAGAAGGAAACCUGGAUUCUUCACAUUGGGACUUGUUACCACUGAAUAAUGUCGUUGCAGGAGGGAUUGGUUUGGAUUUCGUUAAUUUCUUGUGUGUUAGAAAAUAAGUGGCAUUUGUGGAUAGAAUCUACUAAGGUCGACCACAAACAGUUCCUGUAAAUCUAGCCCAUUUUAAGCAUUUAAAAAAAAAAUAAGCCCUGGUGAAAUCCACAAUUUUAUUGGCAAAAACUUUCAUUGAUAAUUUGACUCAGAAAAUUCCCUCCCUUGAUCCCCCUGUAGGGAACCCAUAGAUUACAUUUUCCCAGGGCCUCAACUGUCUUUCUGUGGCUGAGAAGCAAGCAGAGGAUUGGUUUCAGAUGAGGAUUGACUGCAGGAGGAGUUCUUACCUGGACAGGAUCUAAAUCCAGGUGUAGAUAGUUUACAUUUAAAAGAUUUUGUUGUUGUUUUGCUGGUUUCGGUCGUUUGCUUCUAGGGAGAAUGUCCGUGCCAAGAGAGCUUUAAGGAGGAGAAGAUAAGGAGGACUUGGGUAGGAAGGAAAUUCCAAUGAUGCUUAAAGCUCCCUGACUUCUGUACUGUAAGGGAAAGGACAGAGGAGGCCGAGUUUUCCUCCUGGGGGCCAUCUGUUGAAAACCCACAAUGAGUGAAAGAAAAUCUAUUAUGGAGAGAAAGAUAGCUUUCUUGAAGACUGCCUGCCUAAUUACAUAUGUAUGAGCGCUACAACUCCUUAGAAUGAGAUCUUGUCCCACAUAUGAUUGGGGAAUUAUUAAAUGUUGACUAUUAAAUAUUUUAGUUAGUUUCACACUGUGUUUAUUUCUCCAGAAUGAUGAAUAUGCAGAUUUAAAAUGGAAUUUCUUCGUUCCCAAGAAAAUGAUGAAGCCAAGUCCUUGACGAUGUCUAGCUUUUACAGAUGGGCCCUCUGUGACUCACCACGGCAGGCAGCCGCAUGUGUCAAGAAAAACCACAUCGCCUCCCACCUCCGAGCAAGGGAGCCUGUGUGCAUGGGGAAACUGCACCAGAUCUGGUGAUGGUCCCUGGGUGCUGGUGCAGCACUGUGACCUGAUGGAGUCAUGGGUAACAGCUCUCCAGCUCCAGACCUGAGCAGGGGCAGCAAACGGACGAGACUGCCAACAAAGGGCAAGAACAAAAGGGGCACGGGAUAGAGGUUUCCGCCCCUAGACAGACCAGCAUGGUGGGCAGUAAUUAGUCGAAAACACCCACCGCUGUUUUUCUUGAGCGUGUUCAGCUUGUCUGGCUGCUAAAGCUUCAGAGUUGGUCCAGGAAUUCAAUGCAGCCCUCCCUAGUGACUACACAGAACGUGUUUGCCGUGUUGAAGGCCAGCCCAGGACUAAUUUUGAAAAGUAAAUCUGGGAAACAGCUUAAUUUCAUUUCCCUAGAGAUUUUUCCUGGGACAGAGUGAGAAGGGAACACAAGUUGAACAAAAUAGCAGUUAAAGGCAGAGGGCUACUUUGAGGAAAAGUCUCCUACAUCAUCCUUGUUCCCCAAUUUCUGUCCUCUGAAGGACGUUGAACAGAUUUUUCAGUAAACAAUAGUGAUUUUUGAUGCUACACUGCAAUGUUUUACAACCCCUGUGAUGCUGGUAUGAACUGUAGAGUCUUUAAAGUGUCUUCUUCAACACCAAGGAAAAAGGCACCGUCAACUGUACACAGCGACUUUUGCUUUGUGAUCCCAUUGGUGUUUACUGAGCACUUACUGUGUACCAGGCACCAUGACUCAGAGUUGGGUCCCCCCAUUCCUGUGCUCUUCUUGUGAUUCACACUCUUCCUCAGAAGGACUGAAAGAGUUAGUGAACCAAAGUCAGUACUUUUGACUUUGGGAUUCUCAAGUCGAAAAUGGCUAUUUUGGCAAAAACUCUACAAUAUGAAUAUAAAUGAAAGGCAUACUUACUUUCCUAGAGGAGUCAAUAUAGAGUGGUGUAUACUGUAAGAGCUCAGACUUCAGAGUUUCAUGUUCUGGUUGAAACAAACACUGACUUUGUUGCUUUCUGGUUAGUUUGUUCUGAAGCAAGUUACUGUUUUAAGUCUCGAUUUUCUCGUCUAUAAAAUGGUCAUAAUAAUUUUAUUUAUUUUCUUAGCGUUGUUGUGAGGAUUACAUGCAUGUGAACAGUUGGCACAAGGAAAGCCAGAUUAAAACAUGGACCCUCAGGGCAGCUGUCUAGGAUCAACGUUUAAGGGAUGCCAAACACCUAGAAAUAAAUUACAAAAAUGGUACCAGUAACUCAGGUUUCUAUACAUGAUCCUGAUGUAUCUGGCCAGAUGGAGUUGACCUCGUUCUACAGAGGACAGUGCCCUUCAGAGGAGAAAACAACAACAACAAAACCCUGAUUGGCUAGUGUUGUUGGUCCAAACAGAUCCUGCCACCACCUGCCCUAAGACCAGCACUUACAGCUAGCUGCAAAUCCGAGAUCUAGUGAUGCUUGUCUUACAACUGCCUUCUGGAGAAUUAUACUUUUCUCUAAAUUAGAAUCCUGAUACCAGGCUUCCCAAGCAGUUGUCUCGGUAAAGAAUCAUAAAGGAAAACCAGAAUGAACACACGGGAAACAUGCCGUCCAUCUGAAAGUCAGAGAAAUUAGAUUUUUAAGCAAAAUCUGAACAAGAUUUUACAACUCUAUCAAUAUAAGUUAUCUCUACGCUUUGAAAGGAAUACUCUUCAGUUAGGAGAGUAAAAAUCAGUGAAAUGGAAGGCAAUUCUAAUUAAGUUAAAACGUUUCGGUGCCUGAAAUGAUUCUCUUUUGUUUUGAACAUCAGAAAAGAUGUAUAUAAAUUAUAUUAGUAGAAAAUCAGUUUGUCUCCCUCUCAGCCAGUGACGAUUGGUCAAUGGGAUAUCGGCUGGUAGGGACACAAAUUGUGAUCCCACCAUAGCUGCCCAGGUCCUGUUGCUCUGAUCACAGCGUCUAUACAGAGUAGCUCUCAAUAAGCACUCGCCAUUAGAGUCUAAGCAUUUGCAGGCAGCAUAACCUAUUUUAAAGCAUCUGAUUAUGAACUCCUGAGAAAAUAUUGCUUGGAACUUCAGGACUUCAUAUCCGUAACAGAAAGACAAAGGAAGAAACGGCUGUUUGAGCUCUGAUUCUUGGAACUCUCUGGCUGACCUGGCCUCUGCAGCCCCAUCUCUCUCUCUUCCUACUCAUUCUGCGUCCUUCCUUUUCUCCUUCUGUCUCUCUUCAUGCUGUUUGCACCUGACCCAGUGCCUGGUACGUGGCCUCAGGUGUGCUAGAUUUCUUUUUCCUUCUUGUCUUUUUCACCUCUCCUACCUUCUACUCAGGACACUGGUCAAUACGCUUCUGAAUAGUGAAUGGUUCAAGAAAAUGGUCUCUCUUCCCUGAAUCUGCACGUGAGCUCCCUUGGUGGUGGUUUUAUCUAGCUGUUUCAUGUGAGUAAGGUGAAUGUUGGUGGCAGAACAGUGACCUGGGAGGGGGGGGGGUCAGAAAGAGAGGUUCCAGAUCCCUGCCUGCCUUAGCCAGAUCUUCACAUGGGUGAGAGGAUGAAAUGCAAUUAAUAGGCAGAUCUCCUGGACAAUAGAAUCUCUAGAACCAAAACAAGGGGACUGAAUUGGAUCCAUAGUUAAAAGUUUUCGAAGGAGUAAAACCCUUUUCUACAAACAGGAUUUCAUUUAAAAUGCCAAUAGUAGAUCAGAUUUGGCAGGAGAGAUUCUAGAAGGAGACCUGGAACUCCGAGUUCACCUGUUCAGCUUCUUAUGACCUAUCCUCCCCGCCACCCUCCCAGUCCCCCAGCUCUCUGAUGAUCUCCAAGAUGCAUUUUGAUCCAAGGUGACUCUAAUAGUGAGCAAACUACCUGAGAGUGGACAUUGAGCCUUAUUUCUUCUCAUUCCUACUCCCUUCCCUGCCCUCCAGUGCUUAGGAGAAUACUAGAUAUAUGUAAGCAGUUCAUAUUUAUUUACUUCAGUCAACUUUUGGGUGACUAGAAAAUAAUAAGAAAAGUAUUACUGUAUGUGGUUACACAGAUUUAGCCUAUUUGACCAGUAUUUCCAAGCUUGUUCAAGGGUUUUCACUAUGAAAUGAUUAAAAACCGGGGAACAAUUUCCAAGGAAAGUGACCACUUUUAUUCCAGGAUGUUCUGAGCAUUGCACUAGGAGGAGAUUUUUGGUUCAGGUGGUUCUUGGUUCACAGUUUCCCCUUCUCCAGGAUUGGCACCAAAAGGGUCUCUCAGGGUUUUUCUGGGCAACAUGACUGUCUCCUCCCUGAGCCCUGGCUCUUGUUUAUUGGUCUAGGAGUGGACAAUAACCCCAAACAAGACCAAUCAAAAUCUUUCCCUGGGGAUUUCUAAAUUGGAAUCAAGACAAGAUGAUCUGUCUCUGAGAGUGGCAGUCCCUGGAUGCUGUACUCGGGAGCUUUCUAAGCCGUGUAACCUACUGAGCAAAGGCAGUAGGUCUGGGGGAGAAGACAAGUGUCUGGGGGACAUUCCCCUCAAAGAGGAAUGUCUGAGAGUCAUGGUGGUAUCUAAGCUCCAAUCUCAAGUUGCUUCUCUGUUCCUGCCCUGAUUUCUAAUUUUUGUCCAACAUCUUUCUAAUUCCCUGUUUGACCUAAACUAGUUUGAUUAAAGUCUCUGUCAUUCAACCAAAGGAAUCUAGACUAAUACAAGAGUCUCUGUUUUUCUAAAACUUCUUUCCUUUUUCUUACCUGAUUUCAUAUAUAUUUUUUUAAAUGAUGUUAUCAUUGAGAAGAUUCCCAUACCUUCUCCUCCAUGCCUCUAUUUAAAACCCCAAAUCAUUAUCCAUGCCCAGGAGUUUCAUCUCCACUAGAAAAGCCUUGAACAUCCAGACUUGCUGUGGGUGGCUGCUUGCUGAGACACUGAUGGGGGCCUCUCCUUGUUGGCAUGUUGGAGAGGCCCCCAUCAGUCUCUCAGCAAGAAUUGAGUGCCUCUCAAUACUUAUGAACGGCCUGGUAAUCCCCUGUUCCUUUCCUAUCCUAGGAUGUACCUUCCUUAAUGUACAGUUUCUCCAUUCCCUAUGCCAAACACAACACCUAGGACAUUGUAGGCAAUGUCCAAUUUUACUUUGUUUAUGGAAAAAUGCCUUAUUAAGGUAUUAUAAGGUCUCCUUCAGUAAAAGGUCAUACCUUCUAUUACUGGUGCUAGAAAAGUGUCCUUGCUGUCACAAGAGUAAUACUGCCUCCCUGAAAGGGCAGAGGGGAAUCACUUGGGAGUCUCCCUUAGGUGGCUAACAUGUCUUUGCAUCACUGAAGAUGACUCAAGGGAACUCAGUCUACCAUAGGAGGAAGAUAAGUAAGGAGCUCCAACAUCUAAAAAAGGGGUUGAAUAACUUGGGUUUGACAGUUUCCGAGAAAAACAAAGCAGCUGAACUGCAAAGGCGGAGCCUAAGAAGGAAGGGAGAGAAGGUGGUUCUGGACUCCUGAGGCAGUAGACUCUAGAAAUCAAGACCAGCCCAGUGCCUCUGAGGCUAAUGAGUACCCAAAUAUGCAAGAGGAGAGAGCUGGGUACCAGGAACUGCAUAGCAGGAAGAGAAGUGGGGUAGCCUGAGUUGUGCAGUCAGCACUGAGGACUGAGGAAAUGGUGCCGCCCUUCCUGGGAGAAGCCCAAUGGUCCUGUGCAGGAAUCGGGACCUGGGAGACACUGUUCCUGGAGAAUCAGUUCCCCUCCCUGUCUGACUCUGUAAUCAUCGCUUCUCAGCUGCAGCAACACAUUGCAAGGAAAAAUGGAGGAAGGGUGGUUUGGGCAAGCUUCCAAACUUCCUGGUCCGGCUAUGCAUGAAAAUCUAGGUUUUCCUGGAUGAUUGAUCAGGGAGCAAGGAGUUGUGAGAAAGAGACAUUGGAACAUCCUAUUAAUAAGGAGCUUCUGGCAAUUAAUUAAAAAAAGUAAAAGUACCAUGACCAAAUUUUGUAUUUCCAAUUUUGACAGAUAAUACUAGCUACAUGUUGAGUAAACAAAUGUGUGUUGGGCCCACCCUGUUGGACUGUGUCAUGAAAUUUCAAUAUGUCAAGGAGCCCGCCACUGGUCUGAUACAGCAUGUAAAUGUCCGAUGUUUAUCUGGGUUUUGAACCUUACAGCAAUCCUGUUCAGAUAAGCAGGGACUUUAGCACUAUCUCAUUUUACAGGUGAGGAGGUCAUUGCUAAGAGAGACCGAGCGACUCACCAUGGCUGGAAGGACAGCUAAUGGCAGAGUGCUUUCCACCACCAUGCUGGGGUAUCCCCUGAGGCAGCCGUGGACACCCUGGAAUCUGGAGAACAGGGAGGCCCCGUGCAACAGUGGAGAGAGAGCACUUGGCCCCUGGUCAAGCUUUCCAGCUUCUGGUUCUAUCCAGCAGCUGGCUGGGAAACAGCAGGCAAAGCCCUUUUUAAGGCUUCAUUAGGCUUUUUUGUCAUUUUGGAGGAGAAGCCAAAAGACCUCAAAGGUCCUUUCUAGCAUGAACAUAUCUUGGAUUUAGGGGUACAAAGAAAUAGCUCCCGGGUAUGUGGCUGGGGGAGGCUGCCAGCUGUCCUCCACGAUCUAGUUCUCCCUUUAUUUUUUCAAAAUGAGUCUUCAAUUUUUAGAAGAGUUUCAGAUAUAUAGAAAAGAUAGGAGAGUUCCCAUAUGUAUCAUGGUUCAAUUGCUUCUAUUAUUAAUACCUUAUGCUGGUACAGAACAUUUGCCACAAUUCAUAAACCAGUUUUGAUAUGUUGUUAUUAAUUUUUUGUGGUGGUUGUUUUUCUAGGAUUCCAUUCAGGAAGCCGUAUUUCGUUUAUUACUCUCGUCUCCUUGAGCCACUUGGCUGUGACGGUUUCCCAGACUUUCCUGGCAUUUGAUGACAGUUUUGAGGAGUGCUGGUCAGGUAUUUUAGUGAGUCCCUCAACUGGGAUUCGUAUGAUGUUUUUUGUCAUGGUUAGACUGAAGUCAUGUGUUUUGGAAAAGAGAACCAGAGACCUCAUCACGUCACAUCAAGGGAUCCACACCAUCAAUAGGAAUUAUCACCACUGAUGUUAACCUUGAUUACCUGACUGGAGGUAGUGUUUGUCAGGAUUCUCCAUUGUAAAGUUACUUUUUUUCAUCUUUUCCUUAGUGUUCUUUUUGAAAGAAAGUUACCACGUGAAGCCCACACUUAAGGAGUCAGAAAUUAUGCUGUCUCUUCUUAAGGGUGGAGAACCUAAAUAAAUUAUUUGGAAGGUU